rnacentral:lncRNA from 1 species
AUUUGAUCAGCCUCUCUUACUGAAAUUUCAAUUUUGUUGGCUGGCGAAAUCAGAAGUGGAAAAGUUGUAAAGGUCCAUAACAAUAUUUGCCCAAGGGAUUGCUUGAGGAUUAAAUACGGGAUAGAAUUUGAAAAGUGAUGGGAAUGAGAAUCCUCGAGCAUGAGGAGUUUGGUUUCUUGAGGCUCCUUAAGGAGGUUCGGGGGAGACUGAGAAACAAGGCAAUGUGGAAAAUGGUUCAAAGACAAGAACAAAAGAUUUAAGGAAUCCUGUUCCUUCUUUCUCUCAAGCUAUGCAUAACUUACAGCAGUUUGAAAUUUUCCUCAUUAAAUGCCUGAAUGUUUACACCAUACAGCAAAUAUCCCAUACUGGGCCCCAACAGAUGACUCAGUUGGCUGUUAAUGAACGAUUUGGUCAAAGAUAGAAACAGACUAAAUGUGAGUUUGAGGAAGCCCUGAAGCCAGUUUCAAGUAUAUGGUGACAUCUCUCUGGUGGUCAGGUGGACCUGAUUUUUUUCUAUAUAGCAUUUCACACUUCCUGGUGGUGCUUGAAUGGAGGCAAGGAGUCAUACUGGGGAGAUAGAUGCAAGGGUUGCAAGUCCUGUCUAAAUCUCUUACUGUACAAACUUUGCCAUAUCUUCUUUACUCUUUGAGCCUCCUUGAUCUUCACCAUAUAAUGGUGGUAAUAAUAUGUACCUUUUAGGACUGAGUUAAAUGCACACAAAGUCAUUUUUCCCUCAGAUGGGCCAUAGGGUCCAUGAAGAGGUUAAAAUUAUACCUCCUUUCUUAACUUCCUUUCUGCUUACAACCAAAACUGUAUUGAAAUUGCCAGCCUGGUCCAUUCCAAGAUGGCCAAACAGGAACAGCUCUGGUCUGCAGCCCCCAGAGUGAUCAACGCAGAAAACAGGUGAUUUCUGCAUUUCCAGCUGAGCUUCCUGGUUCAUCUCACUGGGACUGGUUGGAC